rnacentral:lncRNA from 1 species
GUGAAGUUGAGUUGUGCCAAACAAACCCGUAUUAUUCACUUGUUCACAUGGGCUCUCUUUCUCUUAUAGAACCGGUGAAGCUAGUUUUUUUAGUUUCACCUCGCUCUGUGAGAGAAGAAGAGGAGAAAAUAAAAGAUCAUUACAUGUGUUUGAAGCUUAAACCGGUUAUAACUUUACCAAAGGAGGCCUUAAAAGUUAUUUGGAAGCACUCAAGCAGUCAAGAAAAAGCUUUGGCCAUCCUCACUGCAGUGGAAGGAGAAGACAAGCUUGGGCUAUUGCACCCAGCUGGAGAAGAAGCGACCUCGGACUGGAUCUCGAUUCUCGACUGCCGGUCAUCCUUGGCACGGACGGCAAGUUUUCCUUACAGAUGAUAUAUCAUGUCCAUACGACUAAUCAAGUUUUUUGAUAGACUAUACUAAACUUUAGUACAUGUUUUGGAUACCAAAUAGAAAGUCUAAACGUAAACUAAUCAUUGUCUACAAAAACUAAUAAAGGCUAAUGGAUGAGUAGAACACAUUAGAAAAAAAGAUUUUAAUUAGGCCCUGUUUAGUUCCCCACCAAAAAUUUUUUCAUCCAUCCCAUCGAAUUUUUGGACACAUGCAUGGAACAUUAAAUCUCUACAACUAAAAAUUAUGGAAAGGACCCAUCUACCACACCCAUGGUGAAGCCACAACUCCCAUCCCUUUUAGCCAUGAUAGGCUAUCCCAUCAACCUAGGCCCCACUCACCCAUGCAUGCAAAAUUGUUUCAACGAAUUUAAAAUGUCAUAAGUUUUAAACCAAAGAUAUAAAUUAAAUUCUGAUUGCACCAUUAAAUUUCUCAUAACAAAUCAUUCAAAACAAAAUCACACAUGGAUAUAUUUAGAUAAAAUUUUAUUAAUUAAUAUUUAUCUCUACAACUAAAAAUUAUGGAGAGGACCUAUCUACAACUUUCAUCCCUUUGGUGGUCUUUUUUACUGCACGAUGACACGCUAUCCCAUCAACCUAGGCCCCACUCACCUAUGCAUGUAAAAUUGUUUUAGCGAAUUAAAAAAAGUCAUAACUCCUAAACUAGAUUCUGAUUGCACCAUUAAAUUUCUUAUAACAAAUCCUUCAAAACAAGAACACACAUGGAUAUAUUUAGAUAAAAUUUUAUUAAUGAAUAUUUAUCUUAUAAAGAUAAACUAUUUUCUUUUAUUAAGUAGAAACAAUAUUCUAGGUUCAACAAACAAUGUUCUGUCUUUGUAAAAAAAUGUUAUCGAUCUAGAAGAAUAGUAUUUUGGUUUUAGAUUUAUGAAACUGAUAUUACAAUAUACAUAAAAAUACAUAAAUACAUGACAUAGAUAGAAAUAAUAAAAAAAUCUAGAGUAAAAAGCAUAAGAAAAAAAAAUAAAAAAUACAAAAUGGAGAAAAAUUUCAAAUAAUGUCAAAGGGUUACUUUUUAAAUAUCGUAAAUAUAUUUAUAGAACAUUAACAUCACUAAAUACAUUAUAGAACAUCAUUAAAUAUAUUAUAGAACAUCACAUCUAUUAUAGAUUACAUGUAUACUAAGUGAACACCGUAAGAAACAUCAUAGAACAUCACAUAUAUAUUACGUAAACAUGACAUAACACAAUAUAGAACACUAAAUAUAUAGUACAUAAAUAUCACAUAUAUAUAGAAAAUAAAAAUAAAAAAAUAAAAUUACUAAGAAAAAAAAUAUAAAAACAAACAUAAUUAACAAAUGAUAAAAAGUGCAUAGAGCAAAUAAAUUAAUGAAUAAUUUAAAUAAGGAUAAAAAUAAGAUUAAAAGGAAAUAAAAUAUAAAAUAAGAAUGAAGAAACAUAGAAAAUCUGAAAAGAAAAAAGAAAAACAAAUAGAAGCAAGGAAGAACAAUAAAAAUAAAACCAAAAGAAAAAAAAAAUAAAAGGUAAAAUUAAAACAAGAAAAGAAUAAGUAAAGGACAGAAAAUAAAAUAAAAUCGUAAAACAAAAACUAAAAAGAAAUGAAAAAGGAAGAAUAUAGACAGAAAAAAUAAAACAACAAUGAAGAAAUAUAGAGUAUGUAAAUUUUAAAACCCGUAACAACGUACAGGCAUUAACCUAGUGUACAUAAAAAAAAUAAACUAAUUACACAGUUCGGUUGAAAAUCACGAGACGAAUCUUUUAAGCCUAGUUACUCCAUGAUUAGCCUUAAGUGCUACAGUAACUCAUAUGUGUUAAUGACAGAUUAAUUAUGCUUAAUAGAUUUGUCUUGCAGUUUCCUGACGAGUUAUGUAAUUUAUUUUUUUAUUAGUUUCUAAAAAUUUCUCCCGACAUCCUUCCGACAUAUCCGAUGUGACACCCAAAAAUUUUUUAUCUCCAAUCUAAACAGGGCCUUAGCCUAUGUUUAUCCUGUUAUUCAAUGACGGACUAAACUUUACUCCAGUGAUCCAAACAGUCCCUGGCUAGUCAUUUCUCUACAACUAAAAGAUAUGAAGAGAACCCAUCUACCACAUCCAUGGUGAAGCCACAACUCCCUUUUUACUAUAUCAUGAUAGGCUAUCCCAUCAACCCAAGCCCCACUCAGCUAUGCAUGCAAAAUUGUUUUAGUGAAUUAAAAAAAGUCAUAACUUUUAAACCGAAGAUAUAAAUUAAAUUUUGAUUACACCAUUAAAUUUCUUAUAACAAAUCCUUUAAAACAAGAUCACACAUGGAUAUAUUUAGGUAAAAUUUUAUUAAUAAAUAUUUAUCUUUACAACUAAAAAUUAUGGAGAGGAUCCGUGCACAACUCUUAUCCCUUUGGUGGUCUUUUUUACUGUGCGAUGACACGCUAUCUUAUCAACCUAGGCCCCACUCAC